rnacentral:rRNA from 1 species
AUUGAACGCUGGCGGCAGGCUUAACACAUGCAAGUCGAGCGAGCGGCGGCCGGGUGAGUAAUGUCUGGGAAACUGCCUGAUGGAGGGGGAUAACUACUGGAAACGGUAGCUAAUACCGCAUACCAUCAGAUGUGCCCAGAUGGGAUUAGCUAGAAGGUGGGGUAAGGGCUAACCUAGGCGAAGAUCCCUAGCUGGUCUGAGAGGAUGACCAGCCACCCUGGAACUGCUACACGGUCCAGACUCCUACGGGAGGCAGCAGGGGGGAAGAUUGCACAAGUGGCGCAAGCCUGAUGCAGCCAUGCCGCGUGUGUGAAGAAGGCCUUCGGGGUGGAAAGCACUUUCAGCGAGGAGGCGUUACUCGCAGAAGAAGCACCGGCUAACUCCGUGCCAGCAGCCGCGGUAAUAC